UUCACCUUUUACUUUGAAAUUCAAAUGUGUUUCACUUAAAUAUUAGUCAUUGUGAGAAGCUCAUUUGAGUAGAAUUUAUGAUAUGUUUUUAGCAGAUCUUGUUUGUCAUUUGUCUUAUACAAAAUUCCAAAAGACCAUUACCCGUAGAUAUUUUUUUAACAAAAUUUGGCAAGGAAUGGCAUUUUUUUUUUUGCCAUUUCAUUCACCAAAAACAUGUGCAACAUAACUGUGGUACAAUUGCAAAGAUAGUGGGAAGAUUUUGCAGUAAGAGGGCAUGUUUCUGUUUUUGCCCUUGCACAGUAUUUGCCUAGUGAUUCAUGUCAUUCGAAGAGAGAAUGUUAAGCAGGAAUGCAUCGUCCAGUAUCUACAAGAACUUGAUACAUAGAAAUAGAUGCAGUUUGGGAAUGUCCAGAUUGAUUUGAUAGAAAUUCAAUUACAUCCUUUUUCUUUGGCAUUAAGGAUUAGAAAUUGAAAGAUGUCCCUUAAAUUUUACCAACUGAUCUAGCUGGCUCAUUAUAGAAGAUUUUCCAUAUGACUAAAAUAGUGCAAAUUCUGUUUUCUUAUCUUCUUGUAGAAAAUUUUGGAGAAUGUUGCCUUCUUUUGGGAAGGCUUUAAUCUUUUUUGGCUUGUUGGUGUCCAUAAAAAAUUGCUUCUUGCAAGUGAAAUUAUUGACAAUUCGUUCCUUUAGUAUUGGCCAGAUGAUAGCACCACUUUUUGGCUUUAUUACAAAUAGUAAGGCAUAUGGUAUGGCUGAGGUUAGGCCUAGUUUAAGACUUCACAUCUUUAUUAUAAGGAAUGUUGUUAUCAAAUAACAUUGUGCAGCUUCUAUGAAGUUGAGUUGAGCCUUGCAUUAUUUAGUUUGCAAGAUUUGUAAUGGAAGAUUAAACUAGGCCUGGUUUGACUACUGUUUAAUUUGCCUUGUUUGGCUUAUUUAGGGGCUAAUUUCCAUUUCUUCUUCGCAUUGAAAAGCGAAGCCUUUUGCCUCAGGAUGUUUGAGCUUAUUGAUACUUUUUCAAUAUUCAUGUGCACAUGUUUUACAUGUGUUUCUGCAUGUACAUACGUAAGUGGAUAUUAUUGUUCUGCACUUUUUAAGACAACUGAGGAGAGCAACAAUGAUGAUGGGGUUGGGAUGGGACGACAGAGAGCAUUACAAUGUAACACCUGCUUUCCUUUUAUUGAUUAAAAUUACUGGAAGAAACUCAUAUUAUGAUUAUUCUUUGCUGCAAAUAAUGUAGUAAACUGAUAAAGUACUGAAUAAACUAUUGAGUGCUAGCUAGUAAUUGUUGCUAUUAAUUUUAAUUGGACUUUGGUAUGGGUGUCAAAUAGGGGUAUGCGCCUAAGUCUUUGACCUGACUAUUUUGCUUAAUUGUCAUAGAUUUUCCUGAUUUGUAUCAGAGUAUAGCUAAUUUAAGGUGAACAGUUGGAGUUGCUAUGGUUGCUUUUUCUGAAAGAUGAUGACUUUAUGGGGCCUGUGGGUGCCUGCUGGGGUGCGAGGAGGGGGAGGGGCCAUGGUGAUGAUGAUGCUUCAUGUGCUAUAGGCUAUAGCAAGUGUUUUGAGUUACCAUAUUGUCAUAAAAACAUGUAAACUGAAAUAUAUAUCUGUUUCUGUUAUUUGAAAGAGGUGCGUAGUUUUUUCUUUUUUUUGGGUUUUGGGGGGUGGGUGUUGGAAGUGGGUGGGCAGGACAUGUGGGUUUAGAAUCUUAUUGCACUUUUUGCUGGUCACCAUGUGUUCUAGAAAAAUGAUUUUCUGCUUUCUGAAAGCUUAAUUUUCUCUUUGUAUGCAUUGUUCUUUCUGAAAGUUUAAGGUAUAGAUAUGGUAAAUGAAGGUAUUAAAAAAAAGGCCAAUCUAGUCAGGAGGAAAUCUCAUAUCUGCCUUGUCCUUCGAUCUGUUCUCAGGCUUAGGAACCUUUCUAGCCCAGCCUGAAUAAAAGUCUGGCUCAAGCUAGAGGUCUUGAAUCGAGGCCUAGCCCAACCAAGGCUUGCAUCUAAGGUGGAUUGGACUUAAGAUUUAUAUAUUUUUAGGGGUUGACCAACCUGGACUGCCUGAUGAAAAAAAAAAUAUAAUAUUUUAUAUAUUUUAUUGUGUUGGCCGCGCCACCCCAGUGCUGCUAUCUAAAAAUUUAGGCCUGAUUGGACAUUGCCUGCACAAUGAACAGGUCAUCGUGAAUGGAAUUUUGCUUUUUUGGUUUUUGGAUUAUUUCAUGGAUGCUAACUUUUAGAGCAUGUUUUCAGU
rnacentral:misc_RNA from 1 species